AUUCUGCCCAUGCGGGGAAGGAUGAGAAGCUUCGACUAAGGUUCGACUCGAGCGCCAGCGAGAGAGCGUUGCCGCAGGCAACGACCCG
rnacentral:sRNA from 1 species